UACAGAGGUCUCAAGCGUUGUUCGGAUUCAUUGGGCGUAAAGGGUGCGUAGGUGGCCAGGUAAGUCGGAUGUGAAAUCCCGGGGCUCAACCCCGGAACUGCAUUCGAUACUGCCCGGCUUGAGUACUGGAGAGGAGAUUGGAAUUUACGGUGUAGCAGUGAAAUGCGUAGAUAUCGUAAGGAAGACCAGUGGCGAAGGCGGAUCUCUGGACAGUUACUGACACUGAGGCACGAAGGCCAGGGGAGCAAACGGG
rnacentral:rRNA from 1 species